CAGUAUGAGCUGUAGAGACAACUGACGGCGGCUGGGCGGGGCAUGGGUUAACGGAGGUGUGCUAGUGGUACAAGGUUGUGCGGUCGCCCCGGGACCGUCUACUUUCACGGCGAGUAAUCGCUCGCAGUUAUGGGGAAAAGUUUUGAAGUGAGGCCAUGCGUUCGAGGCGAAGAGCAGAUCACGUAAUUAACCUCGAAUACCUUUCCGCGGCGGCGGCGGAGCACUGCUAUGAAGCGAUUUUGAGAACACAGAUGAAUUCGAGUUCCUUUCAGAUCUAGUCCAUAGAUUUCCACUGCUGACUCCGGUGGAUCUGUCGGAUUAAGCCGGUGGUUGCACCGAUGACAGGGAUGUGAGCGCCCGCGGUAGCCGUGAGGCCUAUCGACCUGAACGACAAUGGUACUUGCGAGACUGCCUUUGCGGUGGACUUCCACAAACGCCUGGCUGGACAAAAGACGUUCAACGAUUUAGCUGCUACUCGGUCGUUUAAUUAUUGUGUGUUGGCCUUUUAGUGCUGUGGCAAGUCUGUCCAUGGUGUGGUUGCUGAAUUUGUAAUUGGAUGUUGCAGGAUACCGGUUGGUAGAGCACCCCUGGAGCGGCCGCGGUGCGACGACAGGGUGUGCGGAAGAACUUCAGGGAAUUUUCUGAAGAAAGAACAGAUAUAGUACUUGUUUUGAUAGUUGGUAGUUCGUUCGACUCACUAGGAGAAGCAUAUGGUUAUUACAACCUGUACUUCUAGGAAAUUCGCUUUUGUGUGAGGUAUGUGAAGAGCCGGCAGAACGUCGAUCGAACGAAGUGUAUGCAGGAAAUUGUCUGUGGCUGCUUGGUGAGGCAAACUCAGAAUUAGAUUAUAGGGGAAUCAUGACAAAUGGUGCAAAGUUGUCUAUGGAGUGGAGGUACUUGAAAAUGGAGCAGAGAUUACAUGCGAGUGGUAAUUUCGAGCAUGCUUGUGUGCUCUACUGCCAUGCUGGUAAUGUAAUAUGCCUGUAGAAUCAGCUGCGUUUUUUUGUCAUAAGAUGACACAUUAUGAAUAACUGACAAUUAUCUGUG